GUUGCUGGCGGAGCCACUUCCGUCCAGGGGAGUGGGGAGCAACUGGAGACACGUGCUUUGUCCUGUUGGAGGCGAAACCCACUCUCGCCUCCUGGUGGUCGCCGACUCGCGGACCUGAGGAUGACGCAGGGCACCCCUGACCACAGAUCCGCCGCCACCGGCCCCAGACUGCGGAGUUGGGCCCGUCCCGGGACGAUAACGGAGCUCUGCCAGGGACUGGAGGCACUGACCGGGUGACUAGAGACCAGAGCCCCCCCGAGUCGGCUCCCGGCGCUUCAGGGACCGCUCGUCCCAUCGCAACUGGAGCUUGGACGGGAGGAGACAAAAGGGAACUUGGCCCGCACACAGCCACCGAAAUUGGAGUGAGGAGCUGUAGGGAGGCCCCAUAGCCAGCAGAAAAGCACUGGGAUCCCUGGCAGGGUUUCAACAGAAAAUGAGAAAUAUACACGGACUAUUGGCUGAGGCCCUAGCAACCACUAUUUUCUUCCUGCUCCUCGUUGAUUAGAGCAUUCGAAGGAACCUCAGCCAGGGAUCCAGGUCGGUUUCCUGAAAGAUUUGCCUGUGUACUGGGUGAAAAUCUGGUUUUGGCUCUGCUGGGUCUGUGUGCCUGGAAAGGAAUUGUUUCAGCCUAGGAUUGUCCAGCCCUCAUCUUGUCCAGCUCUGUUCCCGGAGGAUGUGGCCCAGCUAGUGUCUGCCCAAAGCCAGGAAUAUGAUUUCAGUACUGUGAGCUAAGCCGCGGCGGGUUUGUGAUCAUUCGCUCAUCAUGUAAAGGAACUGCAGCCGCAGAAGGAAGGCCUGGCCCCAUGGGAAGUUUUGGGAAGAGCAGGUGGGUUCAAACAACCCAGCAGGUGCCUCCUCAGCAGUUAGAAGCAGAGGCCACCACGUCGUCCGCGUGGGGUUUCAGAUCCCAGCUCCCCACCAGCCUGCUGGACCUUGGGCAGGUCACUCCCUGUUUGUACCUCCAUUACUCCUUCAGUAAGAUGGGGACAGUGAAGGUGACCAUGCCUCCCACCAGAUUGGUGCUUUUUUUUUUUUUUUUAAAGGGACAGGGUCUCACUAUGUUGUCCGAGUUGGCCCCAAGCUCUUGGCCUCACGCAGUUUUCCUGCCUCAGCCUCCCAAAAUGCUGGGAUGACAGGCGGAGCCGCUGCGCUGGCCCAGACUGGCGCUCUCGAGGGUUAAAUGAGCACAUCCUGUAGAGCGCUCAGGAGAGGGCUGGGGCCUGGGAGCCCUUGGAAGCUAUGUUGUUGUCAUUUACCUUUUUCCUCAGACUUUCAAAGCAUUUUCGGCUGUGAAACUCCCUGGGCUGCCGCAGUAAAGUGUGGGGUCUUAACAGGCGCUGUUGGCCACAGGAAGGUACCUUCCCGCUCCAGGCCAGGAGAGCUGAGGUAAGGCUUGACUGUAGGCUGUUUUGUUCUGUUUUGUUUUGUUUUAACCUCUUCAUUUGCACGAUUUGGGCCACUCACAAGAGUGUAUACCCCAUGAUAAACAGUUACCUUCAUUCUCCUCUGCAUGUAUGUCUUCAGAGGAAGAAAUGUAUUAAUUGCCCAGAGUAAUAUAUUGUGUUAAGAUGUGAUAUGUACUGGGAAAAAAAAAAGUGUAAGUUGACAUUCCUGGAAUAAACCACUUUGAUGCCCAG